GUAAAGACGAUGACGAAGAGUAGUACAUUUAAAUGUCUUUUUCAGAGAGUCUGUGGUUGGUGGGAACAGAUGAAGACAUAAAUGGAAUGGACUUCCGAGUUAGCCUGGGGAAAAUUAGUAUCCUGGCUCGUUUCCUUCACGUUACGAAGAAGAGUGGCCUGUCACAGGCAAGCUGGGUGGUACCGCGGAUUCAAACAUCAUUCGUCCCUUUU
rnacentral:ncRNA from 1 species